UGUGAGCUCGAUGAGUAGGGCGGGACACGUGGUAUCCUGUCUGAAUAUGGGGGGACCAUCCUCCAAGGCUAAAUACUCCUGACUGACCGAUAGUGAACCAGUACCGUGAGGGAAAGGCGAAAAGAACCCCGGCGAGGGGAGUGAAAAAGAACCUGAAACCGUGUACGUACAAGCAGUGGGAGCCUCUUUUAUGGGGUGACUGCGUACCUUUUGUAUAAUGGGUCAGCGACUUAUAUUCUGUAGCAAGGUUAACCGAAUAGGGGAGCCGAAGGGAAACCGAGUCUUAACUGGGCGUUAAGUUGCAGGGUAUAGACCCGAAACCCGGUGAUCUAGCCAUGGGCAGGUUGAAGGUUGGGUAACACUAACUGGAGGACCGAACCGACUAAUGUUGAAAAAUUAGCGGAUGACUUGUGGCUGGGGGUGAAAGGCCAAUCAAACCGGGAGAUAGCUGGUUCUCCCCGAAAGCUAUUUAGGUAGCGCCUCGUGAAUUCAUCUCCGGGGGUAGAGCACUGUUUCGGCAAGGGGGUCAUCCCGACUUACCAACCCGAUGCAAACUGCGAAUACCGGAGAAUGUUAUCACGGGAGACACACGGCGGGUGCUAACGUCCGUCGUGAAGAGGGAAACAACCCAGACCGCCAGCUAAGGUCCCAAAGUCAUGGUUAAGUGGGAAACGAUGUGGGAAGGCCCAGACAGCCAGGAUGUUGGCUUAGAAGCAGCCAUCAUUUAAAGAAAGCGUAAUAGCUCACUGGUCGAGUCGGCCUGCGCGGAAGAUGUAACGGGGCUAAACCAUGCACCGAAGCUGCGGCAGCGACACUAUGUGUUGUUGGGUAGGGGAGCGUUCUGUAAGCCUGUGAAGGUGUACUGUGAGGUAUGCUGGAGGUAUCAGAAGUGCGAAUGCUGACAUAAGUAACGAUAAAGCGGGUGAAAAGCCCGCUCGCCGGAAGACCAAGGGUUCCUGUCCAACGUUAAUCGGGGCAGGGUGAGUCGACCCCUAAGGCGAGGCCGAAAGGCGUAGUCGAUGGGAAACAGGUUAAUAUUCCUGUACUUGGUGUUACUGCGAAGGGGGGACGGAGAAGGCUAUGUUGGCCGGGCGACGGUUGUCCCGGUUUAAGCGUGUAGGCUGGUUUUCCAGGCAAAUCCGGAAAAUCAAGGCUGAGGCGUGAUGACGAGGCACUACGGUGCUGAAGCAACAAAUGCCCUGCUUCCAGGAAAAGCCUCUAAGCAUCAGGUAACAUCAAAUCGUACCCCAAACCGACACAGGUGGUCAGGUAGAGAAUACCAAGGCGCUUGAGAGAACUCGGGUGAAGGAACUAGGCAAAAUGGUGCCGUAACUUCGGGAGAAGGCACGCUGAUAUGUAGGUGAAGUCCCUCGCGGAUGGAGCUGAAAUCAGUCGAAGAUACCAGCUGGCUGCAACUGUUUAUUAAAAACACAGCACUGUGCAAACACGAAAGUGGACGUAUACGGUGUGACGCCUGCCCGGUGCCGGAAGGUUAAUUGAUGGGGUCAGCGCAAGCGAAGCUCUUGAUCGAAGCCCCGGUAAACGGCGGCCGUAACUAUAACGGUCCUAAGGUAGCGAAAUUCCUUGUCGGGUAAGUUCCGACCUGCACGAAUGGCGUAAUGAUGGCCAGGCUGUCUCCACCCGAGACUCAGUGAAAUUGAACUCGCUGUGAAGAUGCAGUGUACCCGCGGCAAGACGGAAAGACCCCGUGAACCUUUACUAUAGCUUGACACUGAACAUUGAGCCUUGAUGUGUAGGAUAGGUGGGAGGCUU
rnacentral:rRNA from 1 species